rnacentral:rRNA from 1 species
AGAAGCAAUACCGCGAGGUGGAGCAAAACUUCAAAAAUGGUCUCAGUUCGGACUGUAGGCUGCAACUCGCCUACACGAAGUUGGAAUUGCUAGUAAUCGUAGAUCAGCAUGCCACGGUGAAUACGUUCCCGGGUCUUGUACACACCGCCCGUCACACCAUGGGAGCUGGUAACACCCGAAGUCAGUAGUCUAACCGCAAGGAGGACGCUGCCGAAGGUGGGAUUAGCGACUGGGGUGAAGUCGUAACAAGGUAUC